GGAUGCGAUCAUACCAGCACUAAAGCACCGGAUCCCUUCAGAACUCCGAAGUUAAGCGUGCUUGGGCGAGAGUAGUAUUAGGAUGGGUGACCUCCUGGGAAGUCCUCGUGUUGCAUUCC
rnacentral:rRNA from 2 species